rnacentral:lncRNA from 1 species
UUGUCCCUUAGUAACUGCAUACUGAAAUGUGGAUUAACUCCAUGCUCUUUCACUGCAGCAUAAUUCUCAUGGUGUGGCAGGGACAAAUAAAGUGACUCCGAAAUGUUCUCCAUAAAGACUGAGAUCCUUGUCAAAGAGAUGGAGAAACUACAUCACAGAACAAAGGUACUGACUUGCUAAUGGUCAUGCCACAAAUCAGGAUAGAAAAUAGAGGAGCACCCAUACAUUCCCUGCAAGUUCUCAGAUGCAAUUUCACAAAGGGAGUUCUGUGAGGCUCAUAACCACAUAGAUGUCCAGCUUCAUAUCUUUUCCCAACUAAGACCAAUGCUCACAGCGUCCAAGCACACAGAAGUGAUCUCCCUUCUUCCUUGACCUGAUGGUUUGUUCAAAUGAUGAUCCACCAGCCAGCUGCAUCUCUUGAGCUGGAAAAGUUGCAGCAGCAGCAGAGGACAUUAGCAGACCCGUGUGAUGUGCAGCUGAAGCAGAGAGGAUGUGUAAAGCUGGUAGAACGGGUAGAAGAGAGGAAGAAUGAGUUAGCCUUUUUCACUCAUGUGGGUGGGAGAAAGACAGGCAGUCAAACAUUCGGCAAGGAUUCCAGGCAGUGUGAAGGUGGAGCACUGGGACCCAGAGGUAUUGAGCUGCCAAAGGUCACAGAGGUUGCAUUGAAGUUGAGAGCUGAACUUGUGCUCCUAUGUCCUGAUCAAGCAGAGCUCCAAGAUGGAGUUUAA